CCCAGAAGUUGCCUCUUUAACUAAUAAAUACAGUGCCCUAGGAGGAGUGCAGGCCUGGAAAGCUGAUGGCAAUUUCAACUACAUUAAGCUUCAGCUGUGAGGCCAAGUGGACGCUAGACAGAGCGUGAAGAGUUGGCAGAAGAAAAAGGGAAAGAGAGAACCAGGAAGGGUUACAGGAGCAAAGGCCCCGUGUUUGCAGGUCUUAGGAUGUCGAAAUCCUGCCGCUGGCUCUAAAAGCCUUGGCGUCGUGGGAAACAAACAAACAAAGCAAAAACAUCUAUUCAUCUGGAUUUUAUUCAUUUGUUUUAAAUACAAACAAAAGGAGAGAGGAGACAUGGUUAUUUCUGCAGCAACUAUUUCAAAUGCAACUUAUUCCAUCGCUCCAGGUGUUCCAAUGGUGUUUGUCACCGUAAGACCCACGGGGCUAGUUCCGACCAUUAUACGGAGAUUAUGGAGCUGUGGAAGGAUCAUGGGCCUGCUGGUUGGAUUUAGGAGCAGGUGUUCAUUGGAAGGAAUGAUGCUAAAGCUGAAACUCCAGUCCUUUGGCCACCUCCAUGCGAAGAGUUGACUCAUUGGAAAAGACUCUGAUGCUGGGAGGGAUUGGGGGCAGGAGGAGAAGGGGACGACAGAGGAUGAGAUGGCUGGAUGGCAUCACCGACUCGACGGACAUGAGUUUGAGUAAACUCUGGGAGUUGGUGAUGGACAGGGAGGCCUAGCGUGUUGCAGUUCAUGGGGUUGCAAAGAGUUGGACACGACUGAGCGACUGAACUGACUGACGGCCUCCUGCAACUACCGGAGGGGUCUGGACCAGAUGAUCCAAUAACCUAUGUUGGAAUUCUUGGUCCAAGACUAUGAACCCCAUUGUAUGGGGCAUGGAUCUCCAUGGGAAAGUGGUGGAGGGAAGAUCCAAGUACUGGGCCUGAGUAACUAGAGCUUUAAGAAUAUGCUGAAAAGUUAAAAUGAUUUAUUUGCUUAACAAAUGAGUCAAGUGUUUUGUAUCUCCAAUUUCUGUGUCUGAGGUUUGGUUUGGCGAGAGCUGAAAUCCAAGGGAUCACUGAAAGUAACAUGGUCAGAAAGUGGUAGGUCUAUAAAAUAGGCUGAAAAUGGUACCUUGGACAUCUUUGUGAUGGAAAAGACUCCUCUCUCAGGAGAAGACAUAAGACUGAC
rnacentral:lncRNA from 1 species